GACGAACGCUGGCGGCGUGCUUAACACAUGCAAGUCGAACGGAAAGGCCCUGCUUUUGUGGGGUGCUCGAGUGGCGAACGGGUGAGUAACACGUGAGUAACCUGCCCUUGACUUUGGGAUAACUUCAGUAAACUGGGGCUAAUACCGGAUAGGAGCUCCUGCUGCAUGGUGGGGGUUGGAAAGUUUCGGCGGUUGGGGAUGGACUCGCGGCUUAUCAGCUUGUUGGUGGGGUAGUGGCUUACCAAGGCUUUGACGGGUAGCCGGCCUGAGAGGGUGACUGGCCACAUUGGGACUGAGAUACGGCCCAGACUCCUACGGGAGGCAGCCGUGGGGAAUAUUGCACAAUGGGCGGAAGCCUGAUGCAGCAACGCCGCGUGCGGGAUGACGGCCUUCGGGUUGUAAACCGCUUUCGCCUGUGACGAAGCGUGAGUGACGGUAAUGGGUAAAGAAGCACCGGCUAACUACGUG
rnacentral:rRNA from 1 species